rnacentral:rRNA from 1 species
CCUUCGGGUUGUAAAGCACUUUCAGUUGUGAGGAAAAGUUGGUAGUUAAUACCUGCCAGCCGUGACGUUAACAACAGAAGAAGCACCGGCUAACUCCGUGCCAGCAGCCGCGGUAAUACGGAGGGUGCGAGCGUUAAUCGGAAUUACUGGGCGUAAAGCGCACGCAGGCGGUUUGUUAAGCUAGAUGUGAAAGCCCCGGGCUCAACCUGGGAUGGUCAUUUAGAACUGGCAGACUAGAGUCUUGGAGAGGGGAGUGGAAUUCCAGGUGUAGCGGUGAAAUGCGUAGAUAUCUGGAGGAACAUCAGUGGCGAAGGCGACUCCCUGGCCAAAGACUGACGCUCAUGUGCGAAAGUGUGGGUAGCGAACAGGAUUAGAUACCCUGGUAGUCCACACCGUAAACGCUGUCUACUAGCUGUGUGUGCCUUUAAGGCGUGCGUAGCGAAGCUAACGCGAUAAGUAGACCGCC